CUAUAGCAGGAUGGAUAUACUAUGUCAGGAUAGGGGCCUGUUCCAGGAUGGAUAGACUAUAACAGGAUAGGCAACUGUUCCAGGAUGGAUAGACUAUGUCAGGAGAAGCAAGUGUUCCAGGAUGAAUAGACUAUAACAGGAUGGAUAGACUAUAUCAGGAUAGGAAACUGUUCCAGGAUGGAUAGACUAUAAUAGGAUGGAUAGACUAUGUCAGGAU